AGGAUCUGAGCUAAAGAAUUAACAACUUCCUAAUGCCAAAAAAGGGAGUUUCAACCAGACAAGAGUUUAGGAGAGUAUUUUGAUGGAAAGAAGAUAGCAACCAUAGGACUCGGUUGUAGACAUCCAGAAGAUGGUGCAAAACAGUAGCUGCAUUUCAGCAGAAGCCCAAUGGAUGUGGAAAACAAUGGCUUAACAGAGGUAACAGGCUGCCAUGAGCUUCAUAAAAACAAAUUCAUGACACUAAUUGACUUAUUUAAUAUGAGAAGAAUCAAGAUUUUCACACUCAAGUUGAGGACAUACUUAAAUUAGCCAACCAAAUAAAGGUAUGUAAUACAACAAUACCCUUUUUGGAAGCUAGGGAAGCAGUAUUUUUUACUGGUAGAGAUCAAAAAAUUUUCCCUAAGUGAGUGUUGUAUACUUUGUGAAUGUGUGAAUAUAUGAAUGAGUCAGAGGGCAAGUCUUUAGGAAUUUUCUUUGUAACUCUGAGUAAAACAGUAGUGUCAAUAUUCCCUUGGGUUAAUGUAAGCAGAUCUGCUAUUAAUACUAGGCAAAAAAAGGAAAUAAUUCUUGAACUUUCUCAUAUUUUAUAUAUUAUGGUAAAUUAUGCUGAAUGAAUUUUAAAAAUUAGUAAUUGUGAAAUGUAAAUUUAAUUUUCUUAAAAUAUAUCAGGACUAUACUAUAGUUUAAAAUUCAUGAAAAAUUAUAAGAAGUUUACAUUUAUUGACAAAAAUUAAAACUAUAGAACUCUUGAAUCACCAAACCUAAUUUCAUACUUCGGCGAUAAUUCUGUGUGAACAGUAUUUCCAAAGAGAUGAAUUAAUGUAUGUAGCCUAUUAAAGUUCCUUGUGAGAGUGAGAUAAUUCUAUAAAUACAUAAAGAAGUUUAUAAUUAAACAAAACAACUUUCAUUAUAUAUUGACACUGCAUGAUUAAUAACUGCUUUCUAAAUUUGUGAUGCUUACUAUAUAUACUUGUAUUACAUUUCAAAUAUUAACAUAAUUUUCUCAACAUAUAUUUAAACAUGUGUUUUCUAUAAGAUACAUGCUAGAUAGUGUAAGUCUCUACAUGAAGCCGAAACUGUAGAACCUUCUCCUUUUAGGGAAUUUAUACUACAAUUUUAGACUGCCUUCUGAUGUUAAUUUAAACUUAUUUCAAAUAGAAUACUUAAUUAGUAAAACAAAUCCAACUCUACAGCAUGUUUGGAUGAAAAAACAAUAAAGACUGCAUCCAGAGAAAAAACACCCAAUAUAGAAAACAACAAUUUUAUAUAUCUUUCUCUACUUAUAUUCUUACCAUUCUGUUUUAUAAUUCCAAGUUGGAUCUAUUUCUGUACUCAAAAACAGAAUAGUAUUUGCCACUCUUCAAAGACAGGAUGCUUUUUUAGAAAUUUGUGUCUUUUUUUCAUAUGGUUUUCUCUUUCCGUCUUCCACCUAUUAAACAUAGAUAGCAUUCAAUACCUUGGUUAAGUAUGAUAUUUUAUGUGAAGCUUUCUGUGACCAUAAAAGAUCAUUAAAUUUCUUCCUCCUUUGAAUUUUAUAUAUUUGCG
rnacentral:lncRNA from 10 species